UGAAGCCAACACUAUCCGAGGAGUGCUAAGAAUUGGGUUCUUGUUUCUGGAAAUCAAAAGGACUGAAUGGGAGUGAUUUUUCUGCUUCAGCAUCUUGAGGGCCUGGAUUACAGGUCUCAUUCCUGCCUCCACCUCCCUGAGUGCUUGGAUCACAGGUGUGCACCACCACACCCAGCUGUACAAUGAGACUUCAUCUCACUGCCUUUAGAAAGAGCUGUUUUCAAAAUGCUGAUUUACUGAUGGAGAUGAUGAGAAAACAGAACCCAAGCUUUGUACACUUGAACAAAUUAACACAGACACAGUGGAAAACAAUGUGGGUUCCAAAACGACCAAACAACUAAAACCAAACUUUCUUGUGACCCAGCCAUACCACUCCUGACUAUGCCCGUGAAGGAGAUGAAACUGGUAUGUGAUAGAGAUGUCUGCUCUGCCAUGCUUUCUGCAGCACUGUCCAUAGUAGCUGUCUUAGUUACUGUUCCAUUGUUGUGAAAAAAACACCGUGACCAAGGCAACUGAUAGUAAAAGUCUUUAAUUGUGGGCUUGCUUGCAUUUUCAGAGGGUUAAUCCAUGAUCAUGUUGAAGAGCAUGUCAGCAGGCAGGCAGGCAUACCGAUAUGAACUUUGAUUUUUCUCCCCCACAGACCAACUCCUUUUGUUUAGUUCAUGGAAAGGUAAU